rnacentral:rRNA from 1 species
UACAGAGGUCCCGAGCGUUGUUCGAUUCAUUGGGCGUAAAGGGUGCGUAGGCGGCGGGGAAAGUCUGAUGUGAAAUCCUGGGGCUCAACCCUGGAACUGCAUUGGAUACUUCCUUGCUAGAGUACUGGAGAGGAAACUGGAAUUUACGGUGUAGCAGUGAAAUGCGUAGAGAUCGUAAGGAAGACCAGUGGCGAAGGCGAGUUUCUGGACAGUUACUGACGCUGAGGCACGAAGGCCAGGGGAGCAAACGGG